UACAGAGGGUGCAAGCGUUGUUCGGAAUUAUUGGGCGUAAAGGGAGUGUAGGCGGCUUGUUAAGUCUUCUGUGAAAUCUACGGGCUCAGCCUGUAAAGUGCAGAGGAAACUGGCGAGCUUGAGUGUCGGAGAGGAUAGGGGAAUACCCGGUGUAGAGGUGAAAUUCGUAGAGAUCGGGUGGAACACCAGUGGCGAAGGCGUCUGUCUGGCUGACAACUGACGCUGAGACUCGAAAGCAUGGGGAGCAAACAGG
rnacentral:rRNA from 1 species